CACGAUGCUACAGAGAAAAAAAUCUAACAAGUCCAGAACGUGAGUCAUUCUAUACAGGACAACUAGCCCAACUUUAUCAAGUCAAAGAACAAGAUGUAUCAACAUUUGGAAGAUCUGCAUAACUUGAUGGAUCAAUGCUUUCCACAUGACUAAUGCACAAUAUUACAAAAUCACACAUGGGUAAAAGAUUCAUUUAAAGUGCAAAAUAAACCAAUGGAUUUUAAUGUACAA